ACCCUCUCAGGGUCUUACCUGGAGAGUUUCUAAUACUCUACCAGUUUCAGCUACAGGAGGCAAUGUCAAGCAGAGGCCUACCCAUUCCAUUCCUAGCCUGGGCUGUGGCUAGCGAGAGGAAGGCAAUCUGCUACAAGU